rnacentral:rRNA from 1 species
GGGGAAUAUUGCACAAUGGGCGCAAGCCUGAUGCAGCGACGCCGCGUGGGGGAUGAAGGCCUUCGGGUUGUAAACUCCUUUCGCUAGGGACGAAGCAUUAUGUGACGGUACCUGGAGAAGAAGCACCGGCUAACUACGUGCCAGCAGCCGCGGCAAUACGUAGGGUGCGAGCGUUGUCCGGAAUUACUGGGCGUAAAGAGCUCGUAGGUGGUUUGUCGCGUCGUUUGUGUAAGUCCACAGCUUAACUGUGGGACUGCAGGCGAUACGGGCAUAACUUGAGUGCUGUAGGGGAGACUGGAAUUCCUGGUGUAGCGGUGGAAUGCGCAGAUAUCAGGAGGAACACCGAUGGCGAAGGCAGGUCUCUGGGCAGUAACUGACGCUGAGGAGCGAAAGCAUGGGUAGCGAACA